rnacentral:rRNA from 1 species
CAGCAGCCGCGGUAAUACGAGGGGGGCAAGCGUUGUUCGGAAUUAUUGGGCGUAAAGGGUGCGUAGGCGGUUUAGCAAGUUUGGUGUGAAAUCUUCGGGCUCAACUCGAAGUCUGCAUCGAAAACUGCCGGGCUUGAGUAUGGGAGAGGUGAGUGGAAUUUCCGGUGUAGCGGUGAAAUGCGUAGAUAUCGGAAGGAACACCUGUGGCGAAAGCGGCUCACUGGACCAUAACUGACGCUGAUGCACGAAAGCUAGGGGAGCAAACAGGAUUAGAUACCCCCGUAGUCCCUGUCUCUUAUAC